rnacentral:rRNA from 1 species
CCCUUAGAUGUUCUGGGCCGCACGCGCGCUACACUGAUGCAUUCAACGAGCCUAUCCUUGACCGACAGGUCCGGGUAAUCUUUGAAUCUGCAUCGUGACGGGGAUAGAUUAUUGCAAUUAUUAAUCUUCAACGAGGAAUGCCUAGUAGGCGCAAGUCAUCAGCUUGCGUCGAUUACGUCCCUGCCCUUUGUACACACCGCCCGUCGCUAGUACCGAUUGAAUGGCUUAGUGAGGCUUCAGGAUUUGCUUAGAUCGAGGGGCAACUCUCUUUCAGAGCGGAGAAUCUAGUCAAACUUGGUCAUUUAGAGGAACUAAAAGUCGUAACA